rnacentral:rRNA from 1 species
UACAGAGGUCUCAAGCGUUGUUCGGAAUUACUGGGCGUAAAGGGCUCGUAGGCGGCCAACUAAGUCGGACGUGAAAUCCCCAGGCUCAACCUGGGAACUGCGUCCGAUACUGGAUGGCUUGAAUCCGGGAGAGGGAUGCAGAAUUCCAGGUGUAGCGGUGAAAUGCGUAGAUAUCUGGAGGAAUACCGGUGGCGAAGGCGGCAUCCUGGACCGGCAUUGACGCUGAGGAGCGAAAGCCAGGGGAGCAAACGGG